CUGGCGGCGUGCUUAACACAUGCAAGUCGAACGAGACGAUUUAGAAGCUUGCUUUUAUUGAGUCGAGUGGCAAACGGGUGAGUAACGCGUAGACAACCUGCCGCAAAGAUGGGGACAACAGUCCGAAAGGACUGCUAAUACCGAAUGUUGUAUCUCCUCCGCAUGGAAGAGAUAUUAAAGAUGGCCUCUACUUGUAAGCUAUCGCUUUGCGAUGGGUCUGCGUCUGAUUAGCUAGUUGGUGGGGCAACGGCCUACCAAGGCGACGAUCAGUAGCCGGUCUGAGAGGAUGAACGGCCACAUUGGAACUGAGACACGGCCCAGACUCCUACGGGAGGCAGCAGUGGGGGAAUCUUCCGCAAUGGACGAAAGUCUGACGGAGCAACGCCGCGUGAACGAUGACGGCCUUCGGGUUGUAAAGUUCUGUUAUACGGGACGAAUGGUACGACGGUCAAUACCCGUCGUAAGUGACGGUACCGUAAGAGAAAGCCACGGCUAACUACGUG
rnacentral:rRNA from 1 species